rnacentral:lncRNA from 1 species
UCGCGGUUCCACCUUUGUCUUGCCUUCUUCAGGGUGAGGAGUGGAGCUCUUGCCUCAGGAACUUCGCGAGCACGGUGGGUCUACCAGCAGGGAGCGGCAGAGCUCCAUUCUCUUCAGACCCGCCUCCGGGAGACGUGCAGCUUGAAGAAAUGCUAGGAGAGUCACACAUAAACUCCUGA